rnacentral:rRNA from 1 species
GUCGAGCGAACAGAUAAGGAGCUUGCUCCUUUGACGUUAGCGGCGGACGGGUGAGUAACACGUGGAUAACCUACCUAUAAGACUGGGAUAACUUCGGGAAACCGGAGCUAAUACCGGAUAACAUAUUGAACCGCAUGGUUCAAUAGUGAAAGGCGGCUUUGCUGUCACUUAUAGAUGGAUCCGCGCCGUAUUAGCUAGUUGGUAAGGUAACGGCUUACCAAGGCAACGAUACGUAGCCGACCUGAGAGGGUGAUCGGCCACACUGGAACUGAGACACGGUCCAGACUCCUACGGGAGGCAGCAGUAGGGAAUCUUCCGCAAUGGGCGAAAGCCUGACGGAGCAACGCCGCGUGAGUGAUGAAGGUCUUCGGAUCGUAAAACUCUGUUAUCAGGGAAGAACAAAUGUGUAAGUAACUGUGCACAUCUUGACGGUACCUGAUCAGAAAGCCACGGCUAACUACGUGCCAGCAGCCGCGGUAAUACGUAGGUGGCAAGCGUUAUCCGGAAUUAUUGGGCGUAAAGCGCGCGUAG